UAAAAGUUUUAUUUUAGCUUAAAAUUUUAUUUUUAAUUUAUAUUAUAUGUAAAUUUUUGUGUGAUUUUAUAUUUAUUUUAAAAAUAGAUAUUUUUUAUUUAUUUGCAAUAAUUAGUAUUAUUAAUUAAAGAAAUUUAAAAAUAGAAAUAUUAAUUAAUAUUGACAAAAUUUGUGCCAGCAGUUGCGGUUAUACAAAUAAUAUAAGUAAAUUUUAUUAAUUAAAGUUAGAUUGAUGAUUAAUUUGGGAAUAAUAAUUAAAUUAUUAGGUGAAAUUUUAAUUUAUUUAAUUUUUUUAAAUAAAAAUUAAUUGAGGCUAUGAAAUUUUAAAUAAAAACUAGGAUUAGAUACCCUAUUAUUUAAUAUAUUUAUAAAUAUAUUAUGUAUAUUAAUUUGAGUAGUAUUAGAUAUAUUCUUGAAACUUAAAAAAUUUGGCGGUAUUUUAGUCUAUUCAGAGGAACUUGUUUUGUAAUCGAUAAUCCGCGAUGUACCUUACUUAAAAUUGUAAAUCAAUUUAUAUAUCGUUGUUAUUAGAAUAUUUUAUAAGAAUAAUAAUUUUCUAUAAUUUGUAUAAAAAUUAAUAUCAAAUCAAGAUGUAGUUUAUUUUUAAGUAUAAAUGAGUUACAAUAAAAUAUAUUUAUGUGGAUUUAAAUAUGAAAAAUUUAAUGAAAUUGGAUUUGAUAGUAAAAUUAUAAAGAUUAAUAAUUUGAUUUUAGCUCUAAAAUAUGUACAUAUCGCCCGUCGCUCUUAUUAUGAAAAUAAGAUAAGUCGUAACAUAGUAGAUGUACUGGAAAGUGUAUCUAGAAUCAA
rnacentral:ncRNA from 1 species